UACAGAGGUCCCAAGCGUUGUUCGGAUUCACUGGGCGUAAAGGGUGCGCAGGUGGGUUUGCAAGUUUGAUGUGAAAGCCCCGGGCUUAACCCGGGAAUGGCAUUGAAUACUGCAGAUCUGGAGGAUUGGAGGGGGGACUGGAAUUCUUGGUGUAGCAGUGAAAUGCGUAGAUAUCUGGAGGAACACCGGUGGCGAAGGCGGCAUCCUGGACCGGCAUUGACGCUGAGGCGCGAAAGCCAGGGGAGCAAACGGG
rnacentral:rRNA from 1 species